CAGUAUGAUGAGUAUAACUGAAGCACAUAUUGCUGGAUGCUACAGAGAAAAUCACAUGGAGAAUAACACUAAUGGACAUGUAAACACACAUCGAUAAAUACAAUACAAUUAGCCCUCCAGAACUGAUGGAAAGAACACAGCAGAGGAGCUUUUAUGUAUACAUGAAGCUAUUCUCAUUCUGUGUAUUAGAAUCCAACUCCUUGGCAAAAACUAAACAGCCUCCAAAAAGCCUGCUGGAUUGGCUCUGUCCAUUCCUCAUACUAUGACAAAGAACUGUGGAGCGUCAAUAGGGAAAAGAAAAGGGCAUGGGGGCACUGCAGGAAACUCUGCAAGGACUCUGCAUUUCAUCUGGAGAACAAUGGACUGGAAGAGUACAUAAUCUAUCCCCUUCACAUCAACACACAAGCACUGAUAUUUCUCUGAUAUUUGCUGCUACAACCUCCCCAGA
rnacentral:lncRNA from 1 species